CCUACGGGGUGCAGCAGUGGGGAAUAUUGGGCAAUGGGCGCAAGCCUGACCCAGCCACGCCGCGUGAAGGAAGAAGGCUUUCGGGUUGUAAACUUCUUUUCUGCGGGACGAAGAAAGUGCCGGUACCUCCGGAAUAAGCCACGGCUAACUACGUGCCAGCAGCCGCGGUAAUCCGUAGGUGGCAAGCGUUAUCCGGAUUGAUUGGGUGUAAAGGGCGUGUAGGCGGGAAAGCAAGUCAGAUGUGAAAACUCAGGGCUCAACCCUGGGCCUGCAUUUGAAACUGUUUUUCUUGAGUGCUGGAGAGGCAAUCGGAAGUCCGUGUGUAGCGGUGAAAUGCGUAGAUAUACGGAGGAACACCAGUGGCGAAGGCGGAUUGCUGGACAGUAACUGACGCUGAGGCGCGAAAGCGUGGGGAGCAAACAGGAUUAGAUACCCUUGUAGUC
rnacentral:rRNA from 1 species